GUUAGGAAUAUUGGACAAUGGGCGCAAGCCUGAUCCAGCCAUGCCGCGUGAGUGAUGAAGGCCUUCGGGUUGUAAAGCUCUUUAGUCCACGAAUAUAAUGACUGUAGUGGAAGAAUAAGCCCCGGCUAACUUCGUGCCAGCAGCCGCGGUAAUACGAAGGGGGCGAGCGUUAUUCGGAAUCACUGGGCGUAAAGCGUGCGUAGGCUGUUUUGUAAGUCAGAAGUGAAAGCCCAGGGCUUAACCCUGGAAUUGCUUUUGAAACUACAAGACUCGAAUUCGGGAGAGGAUAGCGGAAUUGUCAGUGUAGCAGUGAAAUGCGUAGAUAUUGACAGGAACACCAGUGGCGCAAGCGGCUAUCUGGACCGAUAUUGACGCUGAGGCACGAAAGCGUGGGGAUCGAACAGGAUUAGAUACCCUUGUAGUCC
rnacentral:rRNA from 1 species